rnacentral:rRNA from 1 species
GACGAACGCUGGCGGCGUGCCUAAUACAUGCAAGUCGAGCGAAUCAACAGGAGCUUGCUCCUGUUGAUUAGCGGCGGACGGGUGAGUAACACGUGGGCAACCUGCUUGUAAGACUGGGAUAACACCGGGAAACCGGUGCUAAUACCGGAUAAUCCUUUCCCUCUCAUGAGAGAAAGUUGAAAGUCGGUUUCGGCUGACACUUACAGAUGGGCCCGCGGCGCAUUAGCUAGUUGGUGAGGUAACGGCUCACCAAGGCGACGAUGCGUAGCCGACCUGAGAGGGUGAUCGGCCACACUGGGACUGAGACACGGCCCAGACUCCUACGGGAGGCAGCAGUAGGGAAUCUUCCACAAUGGACGAAAGUCUGAUGGAGCAACGCCGCGUGAGCGAUGAAGGCCUUCGGGUCGUAAAGCUCUGUUGUUAGGGAAGAACAAGUACCGGAGUAACUGCCGGUACCUUGACGGUACCUAACCAGAAAGCCACGGCUAACUACGUGCCAGCAGCCGCAGUAA